rnacentral:rRNA from 1 species
GAGUUUGAUCUUGGCUCAGAUUGAACGCUGGCGGCAUGCCUUACACAUGCAAGUCGAACGGCAGCACGGGAGCUUGCUCCUGGUGGCGAGUGGCGAACGGGUGAGUAAUGCAUCGGAACGUAUCCUGGAGCGGGGGAUAACGUAGCGAAAGUUACGCUAAUACCGCAUAUUCUGUGAGCAGGAAAGCGGGGGACCUUCGGGCCUCGCGCUCUUGGAGCGGCCGAUGUCGGAUUAGCUAGUUGGUGAGGUAAAGGCUCACCAAGGCGACGAUCCGUAGCAGGUCUGAGAGGAUGAUCUGCCACACUGGAACUGAGACACGGUCCAGACUCCUACGGGAGGCAGCAGUGGGAAUUUUGGACAAUGGGGGCAACCCUGAUCCAGCCAUGCCGCGUGAGUGAAGAAGGCC